GCCCUCUGUUAAGCAUUCUUUCAAAAUCCAUUUUGCAAAUAAAUUUGUAUAAGUAACGGCUAGAACUAAGAUCUAUAAUAUUUACUCCAUAGAUCGGCCUCCACGGGUUUGCCAGUAUAUUCUUCAUUGGUUUAAACUUUAUAGUCGCUUCUAUCAAGAAUCUUCCUACCAAAUAGAGGUCAUACGACUCUCGCUGUUCAGGGACAAGUUUAGUUAAGUCCCAGCCCCCAUCCUCCUCCUCUGCAAUCGACAACGAUGUCACGCCAUCCACCAUAUCCAUCGGUCACCUUUACAUGCCAAUCGAC
rnacentral:lncRNA from 1 species